UACGUAGGGGGGCAAGCGUUGUCCGGAUUUAUUGGGCGUAAAGAGCGUGUAGGCGGCCUGACAGGUCUGCUGUGAAAACUCGAGGCUCAACCUCGAGAUGUCGGCGGAAACCGUCUGGCUAGAGUCCGGAAGAGGAGAGUGGAAUUCCUGGUGUAGCGGUGAAAUGCGCAGAUAUCGGGAGGAACACCGGUGGCGAAGGCGGUUCUCUGGGCCGAUACUGACGCUGGAGGAGCGAAAGCGUGGGGAGCAAACAGG
rnacentral:rRNA from 1 species